UUGGGGUUCGGGCUCGCGCCGCUCGUGCUCGAGUCUCCGAAGCCGAAGAACGCUGGUUCCUUAUACAAGCUCGCCUGCGCGCUCACGCGCGCGCCGCGCCUCCUGGCACGCCAGCAGCCAAGCGCGUGCAAAGAGCUGUCGCAGCAGUAGCAGCAGCAGCAGCAGCAGCAGCAACGACCCACACCUCCGCUUCGGUCCGAUGCUCUGCCACACAAGAUCCCCCCAGCUGGCUUGAAAGCAAUGAAGUCAUCGCCCAACCAGUAGAAAUGUAAAGAUCUUAAUACCCACCAUGGAUCGGGUUUCCACGGAGGAUGAAGAAGUGAUGAAAUGGAAGGAGAUAACAUCUCCAAUGCUACUUUUAGAAAAUAAAGAAAAUAAUUUUUAAAAA